AACAUUCAAUCUUGUAACACUAUAUCAGAUCUUUUAAUGCACCAUCCGCAUCUAAUAGGUUAUAAUAGGUUAUGUUAAUAUGUGCCCUAAGAUAAAACUUCAAUUUUUUUUAAAUAAGGACGCCAACCAUUUAAAAUAUGGGUAAUGUUAAUAUGUUCCUUAAUAAGAUAUCUAUACCUAUAUAGAAAGAGGAUAAAAAAAAA
rnacentral:lncRNA from 1 species